UGUUUCCGUGUGUGUCCUGCCACGUCAGUCUGACGGAUAUCGGAGGAGGAUCUCGUCUCGGGCAGUGAAGGAAGGCGGCGCUCUUAGGAGAUGUAGCCGUGUCUUUAGUCUCACUACUGAGGUGAGAGGGAAGUAUUGAAUGAUCAGCAGCUGCUCCAAAGAUCUAACGGAGAAACCAUGGACAUCAGCAAACUGGUUGAGAGACUCGCUGAAGCCGGGCAGUCUCAUGUCCUCCAGUUUUGGGAUCAGCUGAACCCUGAGGAGCAAGCUGAGAUGAGAGUGGAUCUGGAGAGCAUGAACUUCAUGGAGAUCAAUAACUUCUUUAAAACUGCCAUGAAGACAUCUGGGCAGAGCUCCCAGGAGAAAGUGGACAGCAGGAUGGAACCGGUGCCACGGGAAGUUUUGGGGAGUGUAACACGUGAUCAUGAAAGUCUUAAAAAAUGGGAAGAAGAAGGCCUGCGCUGUAUAUCAGAGAACAAAGUGGCGGUUCUUCUAUUGGCUGGAGGUCAAGGGACACGGUUGGGUGUAUCAUAUCCAAAAGGCAUGUAUGACGUUGGCCUCCCUUCCCACAAAACCCUCUUUCAGAUCCAGGCAGAACGCAUCCAAAGACUGGAACAGCUCGCUGAAAAGCAGCACACAAGGAAAUGCUGCAUUCCAUGGUACAUUAUGACAAGUGGCAGAACAAUGGACAUGACCAAAGAUUUCUUCAUGCGACACAACUACUUCGGCCUGAAGGAAGAGAAUGUGUUUUUCUUUCAGCAAGGCAUGCUUCCUGCUGUGGACUUUAAUGGGAAAAUUAUUCUAGAGGGCAAAGGCAAACUUGCCAUGGCACCAGACGGAAACGGGGGGCUGUACAGAGCUCUGGGGACACAGAACAUUGUGAAGGACAUGGAGACGAGAGGAAUCUCCUACAUCCACGUCUACUGCGUAGACAACAUUCUUGUGAAAGUGGCCGACCCUGCUUUCCUUGGCUUCUGUACACUUAAAGGAGCAGACUGUGGUGCAAAGGUUGUGGAGAAGACCAAUCCAACAGAGGCAGUGGGCGUGGUCUGUAAAGUGGAUGGGCGUUAUCAAGUAGUGGAGUACAGCGAGAUCACCUUGGCAACGGCAGAGAAGCGAAGCACCGAUGGUCGGCUUAUGUUCAGUGCCGGCAACAUAGCUAAUCACUUCUUCACCCUUACAUUCCUCAAAGAUAUUGUGAGGACUCACGAGCCACAGUUGCAGCACCAUGUGGCACAGAAGAAAAUUCCCUACGUGAACACACAAGGGCAGCUAAUCAAACCUGACAAACCCAAUGGGAUUAAGAUGGAAAAAUUUGUCUUCGACAUAUUCCAGUUUGCCAAAAAGUUUGUGGUAUAUGAAGUUCUGAGAGAAGACGAGUUUUCUCCAUUGAAGAAUGCAGACAGUCAGGAUGGGAAGGAUAAUCCCACUACAGCCCGUCACGCCCUCAUGUCCCUGCAUCACCGCUGGAUCUUAAAUGCAGGAGGGCAUUUCGUUGAUGAGAAUGGAACACGUAUACCUGCUAUACCCAGACAUGGACCAGCAGGAACAGUCACUCCUGAAGUCAGCCAGAAGUAACUAUUCUCACUGUCGUAUGUAGUGCAUGGUGAUGGGGCUUCGCUCUUUGUAGAUUCCGUGUAGCUAUUAGAGCUCAGUGGGAGAAGAUGUCCAAUCCCAGACAGGCCAUAGUAAAGGUUGGCAUCUUUUAACUGGCUCUGACCCAAAAAGCAGCUACUAACGGGCAGAAUAAUAUGCAUGCUGGGAAAUGAGCAUCUGGAAUGCUGAACAGAACAAGGCUGCUCAUCACUAUAACAAGUAAUCUGGUUUAGCCUGAAGGAUGGAACAGACCUGCCAAUCAAAUGUGAGAUCUCUCCUCUUGUGUCUUAUGGUGGUGAGGGGUUGGAGCAUCUUGUGAAUGGACAAGCUUUCCAGCCCACUCUGGUCAUUGAUGAGAAAGGCACCCAUGAGCUCGUGAAGAACGGCCUGUGAACAUACUGCUGGCGACUGCACUUGAAACCAAAAUGAAGACUCUUUAUCUCUUUAUCCUCUUCUUCUCACUUCUUGCCAGAGUGGAGGAAACUGAAAUUCUUGUACAAUAAAUUGAAGAAACGGGGGCAGAAGGCUAAUCACAAUCAAACCAUUUUAUGAUCAAACUAUUUAUUUUGCGAAGAAUUAUUUUUAUAUUAAUGUGCAUUUCUUUCUUUAUUGAAUUGGAGCUUAUGAAUUUAGCUGUUUAACAUAUAGAUGUAAAACAUUACAUCAAAUGAUACACAAUGCUAUAUACUGUGGGUUGCAUGAAUGGACACUGUUAAGAUUCUUUUACAAAAUGUACAUACAUGUAAAAACUGCACAAAACAAAGUGUAUGUCUGUUUUUAACAGGUAUGUUUUUCGACCAGAAAAAGUGAAUGAGAAUGUGACAUUGCGUCGGACUUUCCAGCACAGGGUUUAUGGGGGAUGUUCUGAUUGGUUGGAGUCUCUUGCUGACACUGAGAGUGCUUUAGAAAGUGUGCACUGAGACACCUACUCUUUCUCCUCUCUCUUUUACACUCUUCCUAUCUCACUUGCAAUCUUUAGGACAUCUCUUUUCUGAUUAGCCUUUGUCUACACCGUCUAUGUUAGUUUAUAUGUGCACAUCCAUGUAUAAAAUAAUUUAUCAUGAAAUA